CAAAACAACACCUCAAACACAUGACAAGUCGAGCGGUAACAGGGGUAGCUUGCUACCCGCUGACGAGCGGCGGACGGGUGAGUAAUGCAUAGGAAUCUGCCCGAUAGUGGGGGAUAACCUGGGGAAACCCAGGCUAAUACCGCAUACGUCCUACGGGAGAAAGGGGGCUCCGGCUCCCGCUAUUGGAUGAGCCUAUGUCGGAUUAGCUAGUUGGUGAGGUAAUGGCUCACCAAGGCAACGAUCCGUAGCUGGUCUGAGAGGAUGAUCAGCCACAUCGGGACUGAGACACGGCCCGAACUCCUACGGGAGGCAGCAGUGGGGAAUAUUGGACAAUGGGCGAAAGCCUGAUCCAGCCAUGCCGCGUGUGUGAAGAAGGCCCUCGGGUUGUAAAGCACUUUCAGCGAGGAAGAACGCCUAGUGGUUAAUACCCAUUAGGAAAGACAUCACUCGCAGAAGAAGCACCGGCUAACUCCGUGCCAGCAGCCGCGGUAAUACGGAGGGUGCAAGCGUUAAUCGGAAUUACUGGGCGUAAAGCGCGCGUAGGUGGCUUGAUAAGCCGGUUGUGAAAGCCCCGGGCUCAACCUGGGAACGGCAUCCGGAACUGUCAAGCUAGAGUGCAGGAGAGGAAGGUAGAAUUCCCGGUGUAGCGGUGAAAUGCGUAGAGAUCGGGAGGAAUACCAGUGGCGAAGGCGGCCUUCUGGACUGACACUGACACUGAGGUGCGAAAGCGUGGGUAGCAAACAGGAUUAGAUACCCUGGUAGUCCACGCCGUAAACGAUGUCGACCAGCCGUUGGGUGCCUAGCGCACUUUGUGGCGAAGUUAACGCGAUAAGUCGACCGCCUGGGGAGUACGGCCGCAAGGUUAAAACUCAAAUGAAUUGACGGGGGCCCGCACAAGCGGUGGAGCAUGUGGUUUAAUUCGAUGCAACGCGAAGAACCUUACCUACUCUUGACAUCCUGCGAACUUGUGAGAGAUCACUUGGUGCCUUCGGGAACGCAGAGACAGGGUGCUGCAUGGUCGUCCUCGUGUUGUGAAAUGUUGGGUUAGUCCCGUAACGAGCGCAACCCUUGUCCUAUUUGCAGCGGUUAAUGCCGGAAACUCUAGAGACUGCUAUGACCAAACGAAGAAAGGUGGGGACGGACGUUCAAGGUC
rnacentral:rRNA from 1 species